rnacentral:SRP_RNA from 1 species
GCUGGGUGUGGUAGCGCAUGCCUGUAGUCCCAGCUUCUUGGGAAGCUGAGGCAGGAGAAUUACUUGAACCCGAGAGGCGGAGGUUGCAGUGAGCCGAGAUUGAGCCACUGCACCCCAGCCCGGGUGACAGAGCAAGACCCUGUCUCAA